AUUGACUGGUUUUUUUUACGAUUUUUGACCUCUUCUUGAAUUAAAAUUAAAUAAAAUGCUCUUAUUGAUAUGAUAUAUUAGAAAACCUGUUCUUAAAUUACUAUAAUGAAAGAUCUCAGAGAAUUGCUUCUUUUCAUCAGCUUCAAAGCUGUGCAGAAGGCUGCCCAACUGUGAGCCCCGCUUUUAGGAGCAGUUAUUGAUACUGUUGACCCUGUGUGGUGGAGGAGCAGCUAUUGAAUCAGCAAUUAUCCUACCAUCAAUUAUGCAAAGGGAAGAGCUUCUAGUUUCCUGCAUUAGGAUGCUACCUAAUACUUCCUAAGAUGUUGCAUUACUAAUUCUAUGCCAAGUCACUGCUAUUAAGGAUCUUGUCUUACUUCUAUGAUUGGCUACUGAUGCUGUGGCCAGAUAAAAUUUACAGGUCAUGUUUCCAUUACAGUUGAUCCCUUCUGCCUUUUGGAUAAUUGGGAUGGCUUCUCAUUGACUUGGUCAUUUUCCCUUACUACUAGAGGCAAUUAUCCUUGUCCGGUAUUGGUGAAGAGUUUUUCCACUGAUUUGUAUUCUUUUACCUUGAUAAAAACUGCUGGCAUCUUCUUUUGGCGUAAUUUCUUUGUGAAUUCUUCUGGUCAAAUUAAACAAUAUUUAGCUUGUACA